GGCAGACGGGAGAGUAACACGUGGGAACGUGCCCUUCAGUUCGGAACAACCCAGGGAAACUUGGGCUAAUACCGGAUACGUCCGUAAGGAGAAAGAUUUAUCGCUGAAGGAUCGGCCCGCGUCUGAUUAGCUAGUUGGUGGGGUAACGGCCCACCAAGGCGACGAUCAGUAGCUGGUCUGAGAGGAUGAUCAGCCUCACUGGGACUGAGACACGGCCCAGACUCCUACGGGAGGCAGCAGUGGGGAAUAUUGGACAAUGGGCGCAAGCCUGAUCCAGCCAUGCCGCGUGGGUGAUGAAGGCCCUAGGGUUGUAAAGCCCUUUCGGCGGGGAAGAUAAUGACGGUACCCGCAGAAGAAGCCCCGGCUAACUUCGUGCCAGCAGCCGCGGUAAUACGAAGGGGGCUAGCGUUGCUCGGAAUCACUGGGCGUAAAGCGCACGUAGGCGGCUUUUUAAGUCAGGGGUGAAAUCCUGGAGCUCAACUCCAGAACUGCCUUUGAUACUGAGAAGCUUGAGUCCGGGAGAGGUGAGUGGAACUGC
rnacentral:rRNA from 1 species